rnacentral:rRNA from 1 species
AAUGCUAAUCAGCGCAGGGUUAGUCGGCCCCUAAGGUGAGGCAGAAAUGCGUAGCCGAUGGGAAUCACGUUAAUAUUCGUGAACCAGAUGGUAGUGACGGAUCGCGCAGGUUCGUAUCCCCUUAUUGGAUUGGGGGUGCGAUGAGCCGGUUCCUGGAAAUAGCUCCAUCGACAUUGACCGUACCCUAAACCGACACAGGUGGACUGGUAGAGUAUCCCAAGGCGCUUGAGAGAACUAUACUGAAGGAACUCGGCAAAUUGCAUGCGUAACUUCGGGAUAAGCAUGACUUCUAUCGGGGCAACCCUUUAGGAGUGGCACAAAAGAGGGGGUGGCGACUGUUUACUAAAAACACAGGGCUCUGCGAAGAUGCAAAUCGACGUAUAGGGUCUGACGCCUGCCCGGUGCCGGAAGGUUAAAAGGAGAGGUGCAAGCUUUGAAUUGAAGCCCCGGUAAACGGCGGCCGUAACAAUAACGGUCCUAAGGUAGCGAAAUUCCUUGUCGGGUAAGUUCCGACCUGCACGAAUGGCGUAACGACUUCCCCACUGUCUCCAGUAUAGACUCAGCGAAAUUGAAUUCCCCGUGAAGAUGCGGGGUUCCUGCGGUCAGACGGAAAGACCCCAUGCACCUUUACUAUAGCUUUACGCUGGCAUUUGUGUCGGCAUGUGCAGGAUAGGUGGUAGGCUUUGAAGCAAGGACGCUAGUUCGUGUGGAGCCAAAAGAUGAGAUACCACCCUUAUCGUCAUAGAUGUCUAACCGCGGCAUAACAGUGUCCGGGACAGCGUAUGGUGGGUAGUUUGACUGGGGCGGUCGCCUCCCAAAGAGUAACGGAGGCGCGCGAUGGUGGGCUCAGAACGGUCGGAAAUCGUUCGACGAGUGCAAUGGCAUAAGCCUGCCUGACUGCGAGACCGACAGGUCGAGCAGAGACGAAAGUCGGUCAUAGUGAUCCGGUGGUCCCGCGUGGAAGGGCCAUCGCUCAACGAAUAAAAGGUACGCUGGGGAUAACAGGCUGAUGAUGCCCAAGAGUCCAUAUCGACGGCAUCGUUUGGCACCUCGAUGUCGGCUCAUCACAUCCUGGGGCUGGAGCAGGUCCCAAGGGUAUGGCUGUUCGCCAUUUAAAGUGGUACGUGAGCUGGGUUUAGAACGUCGUGAGACAGUUCGGUCCCUAUCUGCCGUGGGUGUAGGAAUAUUGAGAAGAGCUGACCCUAGUACGAGAGGACCGGGUUGGACGAAUCUCUGGUGGACCUGUUGUGGCGCCAGCCGCAUUGCAGGGUAGCUAAAUUCGGACGGGAUAACUGCUGAAAGCAUCUAAGCAGGAAGCCUCCUUCAAAACUAGUAUUCCCUUGAGAGCCGUGGAAGAUCACCACGUCGAUAGGCCGGGUGUGGAAGCGCAGCAAUGUGUGAAGCUUACCGGUACUAAUAGCUCGAUUGGCUUGAUC